AAGGUAGCAUAAUCAUUUGCCUUUUAAUUAGUGGCUAGUAUGAAUGGGUAAACACCAGUUAUAACUUUUUUAAGCCUGAAAAAAAAAUUAGAAUUUCAGUGAAAAUACUGAAACCCAAUAGAAAGACAAAAAAGACCCUAUCGAGCUAUAUUUAAUAACUAUUUAUAAUUUGUUGGGGCAAACAAAAGGACCAUAAUAGACAUCCUAAAACAAUUUUCCUUAUUGACGAAAAAAAAAGCAAAAGAAAAGCUACCGUAGGGAUAACAGACUUAUUUUUUCUGAGAGCUCAAAUUGACGAAAAAGAUUGGCACCU
rnacentral:rRNA from 1 species